CAGCCGCCGCGGUAAAACGUAGGUGGCAAGCGUUGUCCGGAAUUAUUGGGCGUAAAGGGCUCGCAGGCGGUUUCUUAAGUCUGAUGUGAAAGCCCCCGGCUCAACCGGGGAGGGUCAUUGGAAACUGGGAAACUUGAGUGCAGAAGAGGAGAGUGGAAUUCCACGUGUAGCGGUGAAAUGCGUAGAGAUGUGGAGGAACACCAGUGGCGAAGGCGACUCUCUGGUCUGUAACUGACGCUGAGGAGCGAAAACGUGGGGAGCGAACAGGAUUAGAUACCCCUGUAGUCCCUGUCUCUUAUAC
rnacentral:rRNA from 1 species